GUCCCAGGUGGAGAGGAAAAGGAAGUGAAGCUGAAAAAACAUUCCCGAAAAGAAUGGCUGAAAGUUUCCCAAGUUCGACAAAGACCUGAACCUACAGAUUCAAGAAGCCGACUGAAUCUCCAGCAUAAGCCCAAAUAAAUCCAUGACAACACACACUAUAAUCAAACUUCUGAAAACUCAGGUCAAAGAAAGAAUCGUGAAGGCAGUCAGAGAGAAAUGACACCUUUCCUGUGGGGGAACAACAGUUCAGUUGCAGCAGAUGUGAGCUGCCAGAAAGAAGUGGGACAGCGUUCAAGGAGCGAAGGAAGAUACGAAAGAAGACCAUUUAGGACUGAAGAUGAAAUUAAGACAUUCUCAAAUAAAAGAAACACAAAGAGUA